UACAGAGGUCCCAAGCGUUGUUCGGAUUCAUUGGGCGUAAAGGGUGCGUAGGCGGCGCGGUAAGUCGGGUGUGAAAUCUCGGAGCUUAACUCCGAAACUGCAUUCGAUACUGCCGUGCUUGAGGACUGGAGAGGAGACUGGAAUUUACGGUGUAGCGGUGAAAUGCGUAGAUAUCUGGAGGAAUACCGGUGGCGAAGGCGGCAUCCUGGACCGACAUUGACGCUGAUGAGCGAAAGCUAGGGGAGCAAACGGG
rnacentral:rRNA from 1 species